rnacentral:rRNA from 1 species
AAUUUUGGACAAUGGGCGCAAGCCUUAUCCAGCCAUGCCGCGUGAUGGAAGAAGGCCUUCGGGUGGUAAAGCUCUUUCGGACGGAAAGAAAUCGCGUAGUCUAAUACUCUGCGCGGCUGACCGUACCGUCAUAAGAAGCACCGGCUGACUACGUGCCAGCAGCCGCGGUAAUACGUAGGGUGCGAGCGUUAAUCGGAAUUACUGGGCGUAAAGCGUGCGCAGGCGGUUGAUUAAGACAGGCGUGAAAUCCCCGGGCUUAACCUGGGAACUGCGCUUGUUGCUGGUCAGCUAGAGUACGGCAGAGGGGGGGUGGAAUUCCACGUGUAGCAGUGAAAUGCGUAGAGAUGUGGAGGAACACCGAUGGCGAAGGCAGCCCCCUGGGCCGAUACUGACGCUCAUGCACGAAAGCGUGGGUAGCAAACAGG